AAAUGUAGCCUAUUGGACUCAAAAAAAAAAUAAGAAAAAUGAGGCCCAAAGGGAAGGCCCAACCGGCCAACAUGGCCCAAGUCCAUGGAUUCAUUAAUUUCCAUGUGACAAUUACAAAAUGGAUUAUAUUAUAUAAGUCAUACUUAUCCUAUAGAAGGUUCAAGAAAACAAAAGAAAUUGAGAGGAAAAGAAGAAGAGGGUUUCGGGUAAGGGAGAAAGAAAGGAAAGAAAGAAAAGAAAAAAAUUCUAGUCCUUCAAUCUUGAACAAAAAAAUUGAAAUUGUUGUGUAAUACUACUAAGUGCAAGAUUCUCUACAAGGUGGUAUAAUUACUUUGGCAAGAAAGUAGCUUGGGUGACAAGUGAAGGAGUUGAGAAAAGGUUUUGACGAAACGGGAUUUGAGCCUUGGCGAUCGUAAAAGGAAAGAAAGGUCCAGGGACGCGACCCGGCGAUCCAGCUAUUUAGGGGGAGACAGCUUUGGGAAGUCAGACAGCUCCACUAGUUCCGGAGGCUGUUCUUAUUUCGGUAUAAUUUUGUAUAUAUGUCUUGUAAGUCAUACUCUUUAGGAGUCUGCGAACAGCGUGGGUGUCAUGAGUACUGUUUGGUUUUGUCGGUCGUCAUUUUGUCGUACAGAAUUGGUGUAAGGUUUUUUGGCUCGCCUGGCCGUAUGUCAGGCGCAUGUAUGUAUGUAUGUGUGUAACACGCCUUGAGACGUUCUGAAUAACGUGUUGACUUUGGUAUCGUGUUUACAACUUUCAAAAAAAAAAAAAAAAAAAAAAAAAAACGCCAUAUUGUGGAUCAAGUGACGUAAGUUGGGACAUCGGGCAGGGUAAGCUCGAUCGCUUGUCAUGGCCCUAGUUCGGGUCGUGACACCUAUCCUCAAUAGCGAAAUGACUAUCCUCAAGAGGAUCACGAACAAGCUCUACUUAUUCUUAUUAUGCACACAAUUCCCUUUCCCAAGUACAAUUAACGCGCCACAGAUAGUGUUUAACUAUUGACCAAAUAAUUAAACAAUUAAGCACAAGAAUAAAUAAGCAACACAAUGUCGGAAAUUCAAUAGAUCAAAACAAUCGUCAAACCAACUAUCAUGUCUUUGCCACAACCCGAGAUUAAGAAAGUUUAACUACUCAUGAU